UUUUAAUGGUUGUUAGGGGCACUUGGAAUUUCGUCCGGCACCCGGCAACGCUGGCACAGGGAAGUGCCAGCGAGGCACAUAUGAACAUGGAUGUGAAUUUGUGCCGGUUGCCGGACCUUACAAAAUAUGUCUCGAAAUUCUUAGUGCCCCUUGCAGUUAUUAUGU
rfam:Roseburia sp. CAG:45 genomic scaffold, scf88